GCCGGCCUAGCUCAAUUGGUAGAGCAACUGACUUGUAAUCAGUAGGCUGGGGGUUCAAGUCCUCUGGCCGGCACCA
rnacentral:tRNA from 1 species